rnacentral:rRNA from 1 species
AGCAGCCGCGGUAAUUCCAGCUCCAAUAGCGUAUAUUAAAGUUGUUGCAGUUAAAAAGCUCGUAGUUGAAUUUCGGGAUCAGUAGGUCGGUCAUGCCUCUGGUAUGUACUGGCCUCACUGGUUCCUCCUUCCUGAUGAACCGUAAUGCCAUUAAUUUGGUGUUGCGGGGAGACUGGACUGUUACUUUGAAAAAUUGAGUGUUUAAAGCAGGCUUACGCUUGAAUACAUUAGCAUGGAAUAAUGAAAUAGGACGUUCGAUCCUAUUUUGUUGGUUUCUAGGAUUGACGUAAUGAUUAAUAGGGAUAGUUGGGGGCAUUAGUAUUCAAUUGUCAGAGGUGAAAUUCUUGGAUUU